GUCACUAAUGCAGCCAAUUGUUGUAACUGUGGCACACGUGACUACCGUCCAUUCCAGAAGUUCACAAGCGGGAACCAUAGUGUGGCUUACUUAGCUGUGGACUAAAGGAAGAGUGGUGGACUGAAGGAGCCAUAAAUGAGCAGAAGGGAGCAGGACAACAAGGAAAGGUGAGCUGACGAAUGAAUGAUCACUUGUUCCUACAGAUUAAGCCUUUGCAUGGAGGAUUUUCUCAAGCUGCAGUAGAUAUCUGGGGUCUUUUUGGUGUACAUACCUCCUCAAACAAUAUGAUUUAUUCUGAGCAGGGAUUGGGAAAAAACAUUGCGGAAGAGUACGUCCUGCCCUGUAGCUUCUCCUCCCUACCUUCUACAUCCCAAUAAAUAGUGAGUCCUUCACCUGGAUGGUUCAUAUCUCCAGCACAACAAGCACCACCAUAAUAGAAGACAAGAGUGCCACGCCUUGUCUGUAUCUCAUAUCUCCAGCGUUCAGCAGAUAUGGCACCGGUGACCGUCUCUCUCGUUCUUCUCAUUCUUUGCUGUGCAGGAGCAUUAGCAGACAACAAUGGCAAACCCCCACCAG